rnacentral:rRNA from 1 species
CAUUUAAAGAAAGCGUAAUAGCUCACUAGUCGAGUCGGCCUGCGCGGAAGAUGUAACGGGGCUAAAAUAUAGCACCGAAGCUGCGGCAUCAGGCGUAUCACUAAUACGCCUUACGAUUAACAACAUCGAAUGAAGUGAAACGGAAUGAGAUGUUGGUCAAGCAACCCGAACGUUGAGUCGGAAAGUAAUCGAAGAGAGGAUUAUUAGUGAUACGCCUGUUGGGUAGGGGAGCGUUCUGUAAGCGGAUGAAGGUGAAUCGAGAGGUUUGCUGGACGUAUCAGAAGUGCGAAUGCUGACAUAAGUAACGAUAAAACGAGUGAAAAACUCGUUCGCCGGAAGACCAAGGGUUCCUGUCCAACGUUAAUCGGGGCAGGGUGAGUCGGCCCCUAAGGCGAGGCUGAAAAGCGUAGUCGAUGGGAAACGGGUUAAUAUUCCCGUACUUGGUAAAGCUGCGAUGUGGGGACGGAGAAGGUUAGGUUAGCAGACUGUUGGAUGUCUGUUUAAGUUGGUAGGUGGGAAGUUUAGGCAAAUCCGGACUUCCAUAACACUGAGAGAUGAUGACGAGUUUCUACGGAAAUGAAGUAACUGAUACCACGCUUCCAGGAAAAGCCACUAAGCGAAAGGCUUUACUAAACCGUACUGAAAACCGACACAGGUGGUCAGGUAGAGAAUACUCAGGCGCUUGAGAGAACUCGGGUGAAGGAACUAGGCAAAAUAGCACCGUAACUUCGGGAGAAGGUGCGCUGGCGUAGGUUGUAGGAGUAUACCUCCGAAGGCUGAACCAGUCGAAGAUACCAGCUGGCUGCAACUGUUUAUUAAAAACACAGCACUCUGCAAACACGAAAGUGGACGUAUAGGGUGUGAUGCCUGCCCGGUGCUGGAAGGUUAAUUGAUGGUGUAAUCGAAAGAGAAGCUCCUGAUCGAAGCCCCAGUAAACGGCGGCCGUAACUAUAACGGUCCUAAGGUAGCGAAAUUCCUUGUCGGGUAAGUUCCGACCUGCACGAAUGGCAUAAUGAUGGCCAGGCUGUCUCCACCCGAGACUCAGUGAAAUUGAAAUCGCCGUGAAGAUGCGGUGUACCCGCGGCUAGACGGAAAGACCCCGUGAACCUUUACUAUAGCUUGACACUGAACAUUGAAUUUUGAUGUGUAGGAUAGGUGGGAGCCUAAGAAGCAGUCACGCCAGUGAUUGUGGAGGCGUCCUUGAAAUACCACCCUUUAACGUUUGAUGUUCUAACGAAGAUUGCGAAACGCGGUCUCGGACAGUGUCUGGUGGGUAGUUUGACUGGGGCGGUCUCCUCCCAAAGAGUAACGGAGGAGCACGAAGGUUUGCUAAUCACGGUCGGACAUCGUGAGGUUAGUGCAAUGGUAUAAGCAAGCUUAACUGCGAGACAGACAAGUCGAGCAGGUGCGAAAGCAGGUCAUAGUGAUCCGGUGGUUCUGAAUGGAAGGGCCAUCGCUCAACGGAUAAAAGGUACUCCGGGGAUAACAGGCUGAUACCGCCCAAGAGUUCAUAUCGACGGCGGUGUUUGGCACCUCGAUGUCGGCUCAUCACAUCCUGGGGCUGAAGUAGGUCCCAAGGGUAUGGCUGUUCGCCAUUUAAAGUGGUACGCGAGCUGGGUUUAGAACGUCGUGAGACAGUUCGGUCCCUAUCUGCCGUGGGCGUUGGAGAAUUGAGAGGGGCUGCUCCUAGUACGAGAGGACCGGAGUGGACGCAUCACUGGUGUACCAGUUGUCUCGCCAGAGGCACUGCUGGGUAGCUAAAUGCGGAAGAGAUAAGUGCUGAAAGCAUCUAAGCACGAAACUCGCCUUAAGAUGAGUUCUCCCACACAAUAAGUGUGUAAGGGUUGUUGGAGACGACGACGUAGAUAGGUCUGGUGUGUAAGCGGUGUGAGCCGUUGAGCUAACAGAUACUAAUUGCCCGAGAGGCUUAACUAU